UACGAAGGGGGCUAGCGUUGUUCGGAAUCAUUGGGCGUAAAGCGCGUGUAGGCGGCCCGGUAAGUCCGCUGUGAAAGUCCAGGGCUCAACCCUGGGAUGCCGGUGGAUACUGUCGGGCUCGAGUCCGGAAGAGGCGAGUGGAAUUCCUGGUGUAGCGGUGAAAUGCGCAGAUAUCAGGAGGAACACCAAUGGCGAAGGCAGCUCGCUGGGACGUGACUGACGCUGAGACGCGAAAGCGUGGGGAGCAAACAGG
rnacentral:rRNA from 1 species